rnacentral:rRNA from 1 species
UACGUAGGUGGCAAGCGUUGUCCGGAUUUACUGGGCGUAAAGGGCGCGUAGGCGGCCCUCCUAGUCGCGUGUGAAAGCCCCGGGCUCAACCUGGGAAUUGCGCGCGAAACGGGGGGGCUUGAGUUCGGGAGAGGCGCGUGGAAUUGCAGGUGUAGCGGUGAAAUGCGUAGAUAUCUGCAGGAACACCCGUGGCGAAAGCGGCGCGCUGGACCACUACUGACGCUGAGGUGCGAAAGCGUGGGGAGCAAACAGG